rnacentral:lncRNA from 1 species
GCUUAACUAAUUAUUAAUUUGUCAUCUCAAAAGUUUCAACAUUGAUCACUAUAUUAUUGAUGAUUUGUAGUUUAAAUACAUAGUAAUGAAAACAAUACCAAAAUAAACUGAUAACAUAAAUAAUAAACCACAAUAAAAGAAUAUUCUAAUAUGCGAUCAGAUUCAGUUUAGCGAUCUCCAGUUGUGACUCAUGAUAAAAGGCUUCUUGAUUUUUAGCAUCGGUUGAUUCUUGCACACGAAGCGAAAGGUACGACUGCUAACUUGUAUUCUUUAAAGUGACCACCUUGUAACUGGCUUCUUCUUCCAUGAUUUUAUUACCAAUGGCUCAGAUCUGCUUCACCUCUGCUGUCUUUAAGCUUAAGAUCUACUCUCUAUUGAACUCUCCUUAAUGUCCCAGAUACGCAUACCACCACAGCGCCAGAAACGACUGUUGGUGACAACACCGUCAACACAAAUCUCUCACGCUUUUCCAUUUUUACGCUCUCGCUCUUCCUAAGGUGCCUCUGCGGCUUUUCUUUUGGAGGAAAUAUAUACACUUUUUAUUUAGGGUUUCUAGGCUAAUGGGCUCUAAGCCUCUACUUAUUAGUCUAAGGGUUCCGGCUUAAAAUAGAGAUACGGUGGAUUCAGAUUAAAGUAUUUUUACUUAUAUUACGAU